AGGCUAUGCUUUGGACUGGCAACGGUCCGAAGCUUUUAGCCGAACUAUGGCAAACUACUCCAUUUAGAGGAAGAAUAAGUCGUAACAAGGUUUCCGUAGGUGAACCUGCGGAAGGAUCAUUAAAAAGUUGUGGAAAUCGUGGUGACCUCUAUUGGUGAGCCGCGAUUCUCUCCUUUUUGUGAAAUGUUCUGAGGGAUUGCCCUAGAUCUCUCGACCUUUUAUUUUACAUAUUUGAUUGACUGUUGUUUAACAAAUUGAAAGUUUUGGAUCAGAAAUGAUUCAAGACGAUAAAAUUUCAAAACAACUUUAAGCAAUGGAUCACUUGGUUCUCGCAUCGAUGAAGAGCGUAGCAAAUUGCGAAAAGUAAUGCGAUCUGCAGCCUUUGCGAAUCAUCGAAUUCUCGAACGCACCUGCUACCCUUUGGUUCAUCCAUUGGGUACGUCUAGUUCAGUAUCUUUAUUAACCCCUAAAGGUUUAUUUUUUGAUAAAUCUUUGGAUUUGCGGUGCUGAUGGAUUUUCAUCCGUUCAAGCUACCCGAACAAUUUGUAUGUUGUUGACCCUUGAUAUUUCCUUGAGGGCUUGCAUUGGUAUCUAAUUUUUUACCAGUGUGCUUCGAGAUGAUCAAGUAUAAAGGUCAAUCAACCACAAAUAAAUUUCAACUAUGGAUCUGAACUUAGAUGGGAUUACCCGCUGAACUUAAGCAUAUCAAUAAGCGGAGGAAAAGAAAAUAACAAUGAUACCCUUAGUAGCGGCGAGCGAAGUGGGUAAAGCUCAAGUUUAAAACCUGUUUGUCCUAGACAAACCGGAUUGUAAACUAAGGACGUGCUAUCCAGGCUCUUUGGACCUUCAAGUCCUUGGAAUAAGGCUUCACAGAGGGUGACAAUCCCGUAGAGGUCUAACGUUCUUUCU
rnacentral:rRNA from 1 species